CUGGGUUCUGCGCAUUGACAGUGAAGAGAAGAGGAUCUCCAAAACUGGGUUCUUCAGUUAUCGUUCGAGUUUUCUCCUUCUGCUCUCUUCUCCUUCUUCCCCUUCAUCUUCUUCUCUCUUCUUCUUCUUUUGUUCUAAUCGCUUCUCCUUCUUCUUCAUCUACUGUAAUCAUAGAGCAAACAGGAAGGGUUUUACGGCUUUUUUCGAGCGAUUAGAGAUAGAAAUAUAUUAUGGGUUGAAGAAGAUCAAGCUUCAAAUUUUUGAGGAGAAAUUUCUUGUAACUCACAUAGCAGGAACAAGAAAGCUUCAAAUAUUCCCCUAAUCACUUCAAAUAAGUAAAUCACAUAGCAGAAAAAGAUAUGAAGGGGUAAGGUGGGAGGAGGCUCAAGAUCCAAUUAGUCAGAUAGGAGGAAGAGUUUUGUAAUGCAUCCUCUAUACAACAUGCGUUAUGUUCAGAAAGCUCAACAUCAAGAACAUUCACACCACCGUCCACUUUGAACGAGUACAUGAAAGGGUAUCUGGAAGGAACAUUUAAAGGAUUAGAUGACCAAACAAAUAAGAUGAAAGACAUCCUCCAUGCAUUCAGGUAUUUAGACUUGAAUAAACAAUGAAUAUUUGGGGAAUUAUGUAAUGCAUAAUUAACUU